CUCAAUCACAUUUGCAUAGCAAGCUUCUUCUAUUCGAAUUUGAUUUGAGCUUGAGGUAGCGUACGAAAACCCUAACCCUUGAUUUCUGAUCUCGAUUUAGUAUCUUCUGUAUGCCCAUCUACCCCUCUAUGGAAUAUCGACACACCUUUCCUCACUGGCCAAUUCCACCAGGAAGUGGAAUCGACACCCGGACUUGCUGAAUCUAAGGGAAAUUCAGUUGAUUUAGGUUUGGAAUAUGAGAAGCCUAUAGGCUGCUACAGUGCUUUAGUGCAGGUAAAGUAGUUGUUUUUAUGUUUGGG